rnacentral:rRNA from 1 species
UNUGGGCUGUAACUGACGCUGAGAAGCGAAAGCAUGGGGAGCGAACAGGAUUAGAUACCNUGGUAGUCCAUGCCGUAAACGUUGGGCACUAGGUGUGGGGGACAUUCCACGUUUUCCGCGCCGUAGCUAACGCAUUAAGUGCCCCGCCUGGGGAGUACGGCCGCAAGGCUAAAACUCAAAGGAAUUGACGGGGGCCCGCACAAGCGGCGGAGCAUGCGGAUUAAUUNGAUGCAACGCGAAGAACCUUACCAAGGCUUGACAUGCAUUAGAUCGCGUCAGAGAUGGCGUUUCCCUUCGGGGCUGGUGUACAGGUGGUGCAUGGUAGUCGUCAGCUCGUGUCGUGAGAUGUUGGGUUAAGUCCCGCAACGAGCGCAACCCUCGUUCUAUGUUGCCAGCGGUUCGGCCGGGGACUCAUAGGAGACUGCCGGGGUCAACUCGGAGGAAGGUGGGGAUGACGUCAAAUCAUCAUGCCCCUUAUGUCUUGGGCUUCACGCAUGCUACAAUGGCCGGUACAGAGGGUUGCGGUACUGUGAGGUGGAGCUAAUCCCUUAAAGCCGGUCUCAGUUCGGAUUGGGGUCUGCAACUCGACCCCAUGAAGUCGGAGUCGCCAGUAAUCGCAGAUCAGCAACGCUGCGGUGAAUACGUUCCCGGGCCUUGUACACACCGCCCGUCAAGUCACGAAAGUUGGUAACACCCGAAGCCGG